UGGGGAAUUUUGCGCAAUGGGCGAAAGCCUGACGCAGCAACGCCGCGUGGGUGAUGAAGGUCUUCGGAUCGUAAGACCCUGUCGUCAGGGACGAAGGUUGCAUGUCUAACAGAUGUGUAACUUGACGGUACCUGGAGAGGAAGCCCCGGCUAACUCUGUGCCAGCAGCCGCGGUAAUACAGAGGGGGCAAGCGUUAUUCGGAAUUAUUGGGCGUAAAGGGCGCGUAGGCGGUGUCUUAAGUGAGAUGUGUAAUCCCCGAGCUUAACUUGGGAACUGCAUCUCAGACUGGGGCGCUAGAGUGCUGGAGAGGGUGGUAGAAUUCCACGUGUAGCGGUGAAAUGCGUAGAGAUGUGGAGGAAUACCAGUGGCGAAGGCGGCCACCUGACAGUAACUGACGCUGAGGCGCGAAAGUGUGGGGAGCAAACAGGAUUAGAUACCCUGGUAGUCCACGCUGUAAACGAUGAACACUUGGUGUGGUGGGAGUUGACCCCCGCCGUGCCGUAGCUAACGCGAUAAGUGUUCCGCCUGGGGAGUACGGUCGCAAGGCUG
rnacentral:rRNA from 1 species